UAACCUGCCCAAGAGAUCGGGAUAACACCUGGAAACAGAUGCUAAUACCGGAUAACAACAGAUGAUGCCUAUCAACUGUUUAAAAGAUGGUUCUGCUAUCACUCUUGGAUGGACCUGCGGUGCAUUAGCUAGUUGGUAGGGUAACGGCCUACCAAGGCGAUGAUGCAUAGCCGAGUUGAGAGACUGAUCGGCCACAUUGGGACUGAGACACGGCCCAAACUCCUACGGGAGGCAGCAGA
rnacentral:rRNA from 1 species